rnacentral:tRNA from 1 species
UCGUCGCUGGCCAGCGGCGGCGGCGGCAGGCGUUUAUCCAUCGCUGACCCCGGCGAUCGUCACGUCGAUGGCGGU